rnacentral:lncRNA from 1 species
AACUGACCGAGAGUCGAAUUCAAAUUAUGUCUGAUAUUACUGAACUAAACUGAUCUGAUACAGUGUGAGCUAAAAGCUUGGCUUCUCUUAUCUGAGAUGCUAAUGAACCAUUCUUUAUGGAUCUUAAUUAACUGGGAGUGAGAAGAGCAUGUAUGUGAACAAUUACAUCUUCCAACGUCAGGCAGUAAAGACCUUGGGAAGAGCUUUACCUCCAAAAUUUGCUGGCCGGACAACCUGUCACAGAAGAAGCAGUACUGACACCAUCAGAGUGCACUUCCCCACCCAUGUGCGCUGCUCUGGAAUAGAAACCCAUCAGGGCCUGGGCUAGCCUUGCCAAGUGGAUUACAUGUUCCAGAAUAAUUUUUAUGAUACAAUAAUGCUGGGUAAUUCCCUUCAGCUCUUGUAGAUGGGGCAUAAUAGAUUGUCUUCUGCUUUUAUUUAUUUGCAAAACAUCCACUAACUGUGUAAGUGUUCUGAAGUUUACUUACAGCCAAAAAAAAAAAAACAAAAAAAAACAACUCACCCAAAACCUCAUCACACAAAGAACCAUCCUAAACAAUUGGACUAAAUUGUAUCGUGUCAUUUGGGACUGGCUCAAAAUGAAAGCAAUCUCCUAUUGUAAUUUUUAAUAACUGUUACUAUGUUUUACUUUGCCAGUCUCAAAUGCUCUCUCUUACUAAGUUAUUGUAAACUACCAUUGGAUAGUGUUCUGUUUUACUCAGUGUAUGUCUGUUAUUGCUGUUACCGAAAUUAGGUGUUAAUUUCUUUCUGUUCCAUGUUUUAUCCUUGUGACUUAAUUGUUAAAUUUGGAAUGAAGCUGCAGCAAAAAUAGGGGAGUGUAAUUGAAUGUGUCCAGGCAGCGCUUGUCUGUUUAGUAUUCAAAGUUAAGAGUCAGCUUUUGACCUUUUCAUUUUAUUAGCUUCAAUCUUUUUCUUUAGCCCCUUGCUAACUGUUAGUGAUCUGCAGGUUCCUGACCGUGUGUUUCCCAUCUGAGUUACCCCAGGGAAGA